AUUUCAUUUGUGUAUUACCUGUCUGUGUGUAUCUUGAUAUAUUUACAUGUAUGUAUGUUAUAAUGUAGUGACUAGUUUUAAAAUUGUAUUUCAAUUUAAUACUAUUUUACUGAAUGGGAUCAAAUAUCCGCUGCUUUUUUUCUAAACAUGCUAAAUGGGUUUUAAUUAGAACCUUGGUGCAAUUUGGGUAUUGUGAGAUUAUAGGUCUUAUUUAUGAGGUUUAAACAUAUAUGAUAAGGUAUAACUUUUUUAUAUUCAAAAUAUAUGAAAAUGAUUUGAUACUGAAUAUGUCAUUCUCAGCACUACCACAAAGGGAUUGAAGUGUCAUGGAGAAGGAAUCCCAAUUUAUUUCCCUCAUUAGUUCAAUACAGUGUUAUCAUAAUUGAAGUGCAGAUUUUCUUAUUCCCUUUAUGUUACUGCCAAAUUUUAACUGCCUUCUUUUCUUGUAGCCACCCUGCAUGGUUUCUGGAAAAGUUUUGUUGGUUAAUAAGCAGAAUUUUUUUUUGAUGCUUUUUAAUUUGGAAGUUGUAUGAGAACAAGACGAUUUAAGUGAUUGUCCAAACUGUCAAAAGAGUAAAAUUAAUGCUGCACUUAUUUUUUGUGCAAUGUUGUUUUAACUGGUGCUAAGUAUAAAGUUAAUAAACUGAUCCUUGUUGGUUGUAAUUAUAUACCAGGGUAAUUGUUUUCGAUGGUUACAAUUAGGGUUGUUUUACAUAAUUGUAUUUUAUACAUGUAAAAGUUGUUACAUGCUUUUUUGUUAUAUUUUUGUUAGUUUUUUACUUGAAUAUAGCCAGAUCAUUCCUGUAUACCUAGUCCAAUAUAAAUAUUAUUCAGAAAUGUUCAGAAAUAGUUUAGAGUUUUAAUGUGAUACACACUAAGCUUGGGUAGAUAUCUAUUUUUAGGAGAUAUUUGGAACUUUUGACAUAAAAACAAAUUUGGCAUGUUUAAAUCCUAAAGUGUAAAAUAUUUUUUUUGCAAAUUUAGAUUAAACACCAUUUUAAAGAAAAUGAAAUUGAAAAAAAUCUCUCAUUCUCUCUGGCCAUCUUUAUGUUUGCAUAAAUAAGUCAAAGGAUCUGUAUGAAAAAAAUAAUUUUGUGCCAACAAAAAAACAUUCCAAAAUAGCUCUAUUCCUUUAAACAAAGUUUAGAUAAAACACUAUUUUAAGAAUAGACAUUUUAAUAUAGCCAGCAAAUUUUAUUUAUGCAGUAUAGAUUGUCUUCAUAUAAGUUUGUUAUAUAAAUUGCCAAAAGUACCAUACAAGCAUUAAAGUACAAAUAUUAAGUAAGAUGUAAUUAUUGUUAUUGGGUAAGA
rnacentral:lncRNA from 1 species